GUCAGCCAGGGCUGGCUGGCUGCAAAGUCUUCCUUCCAGAACGCACAUAAUCCGGGUUUCAGCACACGUCACUCUGGUGUCCCUACACCACCCCCGCACAGUAGGGACCCCUGAACCCCAAAGGGUGUUUGGGCAUGUUGCUCUAAUUCUCAUCUGAAUGCAAAGCUUCCCUGGGAGGAAUUAGUCUCUGGCCGCAAACUGUUGAUGUCUGUCACAGGCUGCUGCCCCGGAGGGGGGCUCUCAGGGCCCGGCACCCACCACCUGCCUGUCAGCGCAGAACUGAACGAGGGAAGAGCCAGAGUGCAGCCCCGUGUGCGCACGAGCCGUCCCCGCCAGGGUGUGCCAGACAGGUACUUCGUCAUGCACAAUUCCCAAAGACCGACCAGCCUGUGGCGCCGCUGGCCUCCGUGUUCCCAGGACGGUUUCCAUGUUCAAGAUCCUUCUCUGUGCCUCAGCAGCCCCAUCUGUAACAUGGGAAAGCAGCUGGCCAGCAGCCCAGGGAGAAUCCCCCUUCCGGAAGGCCUCGGUCCCAGGAGACCAGGAUGGGCUGUGGCAGCCCGGGCAGCAGGACGUCUGCCUCCGAGCGGGAGGGCCGGACAGUCUGCAGAGAGUCUCUCGAUGGGCCUUACAUCUUGAAUAAAUUGCACGUUGGAAUUUAACUUGGAA